rnacentral:RNase_P_RNA from 1 species
CAAGCCUACGACUAGUGCAACAGAGAGCAAACCGCCGAUGGCCCGCGCAAGCGGGAUCAGGUAAGGGUGAAAGGGUGCGGUAAGAGCGCACCGCGCGACUGGCAACAGUUCGUGGCACGGUAAACUCCACCCGGAGCAAGGCCAAAUAGGGGUUCACAUGGUACGGCCCGUACUGAACCCGGGUAGGCUGCUUGAGCCAGUGAGCGAUUGCUGGCCUAGAGGAAUGACUGUCCACGACAGAACCCGGCUUACCGGUCAGCUCCCUCU